GAACGAGAAAGUGGAGCAAUCCAUGAGUAAAGUGGCGUACGGGUGAGUAACACGUGGAUCAUCUGCCCUUUAGUGGGGAAUACCGCUGGGAAACCGGCGACAAUACCGCAUAAGCUCGAGAGAGGAAAGCAGCAAUGCGCUGAAGGAGGAGUCCGCGGCCGAUUAGCUAGUUGGUAGGGUAAUGGCCUACCAAGGCUGUGAUCGGUAGCCGGCCUGAGAGGGCACACGGCCACACUGGCACUGAAACACGGGCCAGACUCCUACGGGAGGCAGCAGUGGGGAAUCUUGCACAAUGGGGGAAACCCUGAUGCAGCGACGCCGCGUGAGCGAUGAAGCCCUUCGGGGUGUAAAGCUCUUUCGGCAGGGAAGAUUAUGACGGUACCUGCAGAAGCAGCUGCGGCUAACUACGUGCCAGCAGCCGCGGUAAUACGUAGGCAGCAAGCGUUGUUCGGAGUUACUGGGCGUAAAGGGUGCGUAGGCGGUUCUAUAAGUAUGGUGUGAAAUCUCCCGGCUUAACUGGGAGGGUGCGCUAUAGACUGUGGGACUAGAGUGUGGGAGAGGAAAGUGGAAUUCCUGGUGUAGCGGUGAAAUGCGUAGAUAUCAGGAGGAACACCGGUGGUGUAAACGGCUUUCUGGACCAUAACUGACGCUGAGGCACGAAAGCGUGGGUA
rnacentral:rRNA from 1 species